rnacentral:lncRNA from 1 species
UUUUUUUUUUUUUUUUUUUUUUUUUUUUUUGGCCACACCUGAAGCAUGUAGAAGGUCCCAGGCCAAAGACAGACCCAUGCCACAAAAGCAACCCGAGCCACUGCAGUGACAACACCAGAUCCUUACCCUGCUGCACCAUAAGGAUACUCUAAAUGGUAUGCUUUAAUAACUUUCAAUGUCUAACAUCUAACAUAGAGUAAAUGCUCACCAUUUGUUGAGCUGAAAAGCUGUGAAAUGGAGACAACCAUGCCCAGCUGUACUCCAAACACAAUCCUAUUCAAUAACCUUUUUUUAAAAAAAAAAAAAAUUUAGGAGUUCCCGUUGUGGUGCAGUGGUUAACGAAUCCGACUAGGAACCAUGAGGUUGCGGGUUCGGUCCCUGACCUCGCUCAGUGGGUUAACGAUCCGGCGUUGCCGUGAGCUGUGGUGUAGGUUGCAGAAGCGGCUCGGAUCACACGUUGCUUUGCUGGCCUACACCACAGCCACAGUAACUUGGGAUCUGAGUUGCGUCUGUGACCUACACUACAGCUCAUGGUAAUGCCUGAUCCUUAACCCAUCCAGCAAGGCCAGGGAUCCAACCUGCAUCCUCAUGGAUAGUCGUUGGGUUCGUUAACCACUGAGCCACGACAGGAACUACUGUUCCAUAUUUUAGAUUCCACGAAUAAGUGAUACCAUAUGGUAUUUGUCUUUUUCUUUCUGGUUUCCUUCACUUAGUAUGACAAUCCUAUUCAAAAACCUUUGAUCUUGUUUCCUUUGAUCUUCAAUCCUACUCAAUUACCCAUUUUGGGGGUAUCUCUUGCCAACACAAUGACUACUCAUCCCCCAAAGGCAACUAACGCUGCACACAAAACCCAAAACUCAUGUUUGUCUUCUAAGUUCAAAGAUAAAAUCAGGCCUCCAAUCUUAGACGUGGUCCAAUUUACCUCCUCAAGCUUUCUUCCUCUCACCUCUCAUCUCCAUCCUCACUUCCUCAGAUAAGUGCCUUCUCAUCUGUCUCCCUGCCUUAAGUCACUUGUCCUCCAAUCCACGCUCCAGAUGGUGGUCAGCUAUUUUUAAAAUAGUGUGUGAUAUGCCACUGAACUGCUCUAAAAACCAUCAUGAGCGCAGCAUCAUUUACUGGCUGAAGUGGAAAUGGAUUUAAUGGAGGAACUUGGGAAUCAGGGGCAAAAUGUGAGAAGAUGAGCAGAAAGGCCAGGAGGCUGCCUUGGCAGUGAGGAUGAAGUCCCAGGAACGGGCUGAUGGGUCCCAUGCCCCUGGCACUGCUGCCAGUCACUGGGCCCUUGCUGCCCCCCUCCUGCCAUCACCAGAGUGAGUUCUUCUUCUCACCACUGAGCCUGGCCCACAUGGAUUUCAAAGUCUGGGAAAGUGAAACUAGCCAUUGGGGCUUUGGUAGUAGAAUGAGGGUUCUCUCUCUCUAUCAGACUCAGAUUGGCAAACUCCUCAAAUACAGAAAGGGGGCUCAACGACUAGGUAGCAUCUAAACAUCACAAAGGCAACCACUUCAUCCAAUUCUAUGCUACUCCUUGUCUGCCUCACUCUCAGAACACGGCAAGCACCACAAGGAUACACUCCUGCUCUGUUCUUCAGCCCUCAACACAGCACUUGACCAGACAUGGGGCACAAAGACCCCACUGUCCCUUUCUGCCAAGGUUCCGGAAGAUGGGAGACUGGCCAGAUACGGAGGGAGGACUGCUUGGCCACCCAGAGUUGCAUAAUAGGUUCAAUUUAGUACUAAACCUAGAACCAGAAUUAACUGGACAGAAUUCCCUGUAUUUCCUAUCUGGGCUUCACACUGAACCAUAAAAAGCUCUAAAGCUUAAAAAAGAACUCCAAGUGGUUAAAAUGGCUCCAAGACAAAUCAUGCUACCUUAUACAGCAUAUGCUAUCUGCCAGGUAUUCUACAGAGGGUGGAAUUUAAUGCUGUUCAACACUGUUAUGGACUGAAUGUUUGCAUCCCUCUGAAAUGCAUAUUUUGAAAUCCCAAACCACAAUGUGAUGGCAGUUAGGCGGGGCCUCAUGAGGGUGAGCCUGCAUGAACUAGAUCAGUACCCUUACAGGGAACACAAGAGGAUGUGUGCUCCAGGCCAUGUGAGGACACCUGAUCUGCCAGGAUUUUGAUGUUGGACUUCCCAGCCUCCAGAACUGCGAGAAAUAAAUGUUUACUGUCUAAGGCACCAUAUCUAUGGUAUUCAGUUAUACAGCCUGGAUGAACUAAGACAACCCCUCUGAAAUAGGUACUAUGCCCAUUUUCAGAGGAAAACCUACCUAUGGGGACAGGGAGAAUGGGCUCUUGUCCCCUAGGCCAGGGUUUCUGCAGGUGUGGUCCCUGGAUGUCAGCAUCUCCUGAGAAACUGAAAGAACUGCAAUGUUACAGCUCACCUCUCAGAGCUGCUGAAGCCGAAUCUCAGAGGGAGGGGCCCAGUGAUCUAUAGUUUAGUAGGUUUCUGAUGCCCACGAAAGUUUGAGAACCACUACUCCAUAGCAAUGUUUCCGGAAGAGUGGUAUCAUUUCCCUUGAGGGUCUGACACAUUUGCCACAUGGAUGAACUUUUUUAAAAUGUAGCAGUUACAUAUUCAUUUUAAUAUGGAUGGGGUAAAACACCCAGCUCACCCAUUAAAUCCAUGAUUUCACAGAUACACUGCUCCAGAAGAUGCCAAAUCUCCUUAAGGCAAACAGGAGAAAUCAGUAUGAAGAGAACCAAUACAGUUGUAGAAAGUUAUGUUCAGAUCAGUGAGCCUGAUAAAUAAAUGACGAAAAUCUAGGAUACGCUUCACACCUCCAGUUCCAGCUGUAAACUAGAGAUAAGCAUGUGAGCCCAUCUCUAACCGAGCUUCUUCCAGGAUCCACUACACUGUCCAAAAUCUCUUCUACCCGAUAUUCAAACUUAACCUCAGAAUCUUUGCCCGUGGUUUUCACCCCUCAUUAAAAAAACGAAAGGCACAGGGAGGAGGGAUGACCACAGAGGUGCAAAGGGGCUCAGAACUGGAAAGAGGCAGGUAACAAAGUCUGCCAUCUUCCCCAACCGUCGGUCCCCGUGUCACUUGCCACCCAUCCCUGGGCAUGGUUGGCAAAAGGACCAACAGGCUGGCAAGCUUAAAACAGGAUGGGGGGGAUCAGAGCUGACAUUAUAAUUUUUCACUACGACUACUAAUGCUUACUUACUGUUAUUAUUAUUCAUAAUAAAGCCAUUUAAACUCCACUCAAUAAGGUUUAACAAGCCCAUUAAGAACAGGAAACCUAUUUCCUGCCUGGCACUGUUUAUGCACAUCACUAGGAGACACUCGCUGCCCGGGGGAGCCCCAUUAACUCUAACCAAGAGUCUUGGCAGGAGCUCAUGGAAGGAAAACAAAUCCCUCAAGUAGAAUUACUGUGUGGUCAGUGAGGUCAUAGCUCCUGUCUGGCUGAGCUGUACUCUAGGCUGCAGAUCCCGUGAUGCACCAAGAUCACUCUAGGGAAUCCUCCUGUCCCUCUGCCUUCUGGAGCCCACUGGGCACAGCUUCCCUGCACAACCAGCUCUGGGGACAGCUGAGAAAUGACAAAGGCCAUUCAUCAUCUACCUUCCCCUGCACUCAUCCCCCAUAAUGGACCAUCUUCCCCACUCACAUCUGGCUCCUUCUAUUCUUUUUUUCCUGUC